GGCCUGGCUGGCCGGUCCGCCUCACCGCGUGUACUGGUCUGGCCGGGCCUUUCCUUCUGGAGAACCUCAUGCCCUUCAUUGGGUGUGUUGGGGAACCAGGACUUUUACUUUGAAAAAAUUAGAGUGUUUAAAGCAAGUGAAUAACAGCCUGAAUACAUUAGCAUGGAAUAAUAGAAUAGG
rnacentral:rRNA from 1 species